rnacentral:RNase_P_RNA from 1 species
CGAGCCGGCCGGACGGCCGCGUGGGGAUGCACCGCAUCCCCCCGAGGAACGUCCGGGCUCCACAGGGCAGGGUGGUGGGUAACGCCCACCCGGGGUGACCCGCGGGACAGUGCCACAGAAAGCAAACCGCCGGGGACCUUGGUCCUCGGUAAGGGUGAAACGGUGGUGUAAGAGACCACCAGCCUCCGAGGUGACUCGGAGGGCUAGGUAAACCCCACCCGGAGCAAGGUCAAGAGGGGCCGUCGGCUGACGGCCCUGCGCGGACGUUCGAGGGCUGCCCGCCCGAGUCCGCGGGUAGACCGCACGAGGCUGCCGGCAACGACAGCCCUAGAUGGAUGGCCGUCUCCCGACGGGCCGCAAGGGCCGUCGGUGACAGAACCCGGCGUAUAUGGCCGACUCGUCCG